CCGUCGUGAAGUGAAAAAUAAACUGAACUCGUGUUAAAAGUGAAGAUAGUGUUUCCUGAUACAUCCCAAUGUUCAUAAUCAUGAAUAUGAUAGCUGUAUUAAGGAAAUUCGCGACUCGUGUGAUGAAAUAAACAUUUUGCCGCCAUUUUUUUUUUCAAUCAAUAACAAAGGGAAAUAAUCCAAUCAUUAAAAUUACGGGUAAACUCGCCC
rnacentral:lncRNA from 1 species